GAUGAACGCUGGCGGCGUGCCUAAUACAUGCAAGUCGAGCUAACAGACGAGGAGCUUGCUCCUCUGACGUUAGCGGCGGACGGGUGAGUAACACGUGGAUAACCUACCUAUAAGACUGGGAUAACUUCGGGAAACCGGAGCUAAUACCGGAUAAUAUAUUGAACCGCAUGGUUCAAUAGUGAAAGACGGUUUUGCUGUCACUUAUAGAUGGAUCCGCGCCGCAUUAGCUAGUUGGUAAGGUAACGGCUUACCAAGGCAACGAUGCGUAGCCGACCUGAGAGGGUGAUCGGCCACACUGGAACUGAGACACGGUCCAGACUCCUACGGGAGGCAGCAGUAGGGAAUCUUCCGCAAAGGGCGAAAGCCUGACGGAGCAACGCCGCGUGAGUGAUGAAGGUCUUCGGAUCGUAAAACUCUGUUAUUAGGGAAGAACAAAUGUGUAAGUAACUAUGCACGUCUUGACGGUACCUAAUCAGAAAACCACGGCUAACUACGUG
rnacentral:rRNA from 1 species